UCGGGCAUAUCACGUUCAAACACCGGGUCUCGUAAGAUCACCGAAGUUAAGCAACAUUGAGCCUGCUCAGUACCUAAAUGAAUGACCGCUUGGGAACGCCUGGUGUUGUAAG